rnacentral:rRNA from 1 species
UUAGCAUGGAAUAAUGGAAUAGGACGUGCGGUUCUAUUUUGUUGGUUUCUAGGACCGCCGUAAUGAUUAAUAGGGACAGUCGGGGGCAUCAGUAUUCAAUUGUCAGAGGUGAAAUUCUUGGAUUUAUUGAAGACUAACUACUGCGAAAGCAUUUGCCAAGGAUGUUUUCAUUAAUCAGGAACGAAAGUUAGGGGAUCGAAGACGAUCAGAUACCGUCGUAGUCUUAACCAUAAACUAUGCCGACUAGGGAUCGGACGAUGUUAUUUUUUGACUCGUUCGGCACCUUACGAGAAAUCAAAGUGUUUGGGCUCCAGGGGGAGUAUGGUCGCAAGGCUGUAACUUAAAGAAAUUGACGGAAGGGCACCACCAGGGGUGGAGCCUGCGGCUUAAUUUGACUCAACACGGGGAAACUCACCAGGUCCAGACACAAUGAGGAUUGACAGAUUGAGAGCUCUUUCUUGAUUUUGUGGGUGGUGGUGCAUGGCCGUUCUUAGUUGGUGGAGUGAUUUGUCUGCUUAAUUGCGAUAACGAACGAGACCUUAACCUGCUAAAUAGCCCGUAUUGCUUUGGCAGUACGCUGGCUUCUUAGAGGGACUAUCGGCUCAAGCCGAUGGAAGUUUGAGGCAAUAACAGGUCUGUGAUGCCCUUAGAUGUUCUGGGCCGCACGCGCGCUACACUGACGGAGCCAGCGAGUACUUCCUUGUCCGAAAGGUCCGGGUAAUCUUGUUAAACUCCGUCGUGCUGGGGAUAGGGCAUUGCAAU